GAAAUAUCCUAUUUGUGCAAUAGCAAGAAUUUUUUUUAAUUGGAGUUAUCUUUCUUUGUCCAGAAUCAACUUAAAUCUUUGUUAUAUACAAUAUACAAUGUAUAUACACUUUUUACUACCAACUGAUAAAUUUAAAUAAUCUUUACCAUUCAGUGAUAACAAGCAGUUUUUUUACAUCUUAAUAUUUUAUGAUGUAUUCAAAUGAGUAGUUAUUGUUGCAAACUCCAUUAGAAAUUUGAAUUGAUAUCAGUUUUGAAAAAGGGAAACGGGGAUGUGAAAAAAAGGGGGGGGGGGUUAAAUUUUUCUCAUUUCAGAUUUCAUAAAUAAAAGAAAAAUUUCUUCAAACAUUUUUUUGAGAGGAUUAAUAUUCAACAGCAUAGUGAUUUGCUCAAAGGCAAAAAAAACCUUUUAAGUUCAUUAGACCACAUUCAUUCUGUGUCAGAAACCUAUGCUGUGUCAACUAUUUAAUUUUAGAUUUAAAAAGUUUGAAGAAGAAAUCUUUAAUUGAUUUGUAAAAUCUUGGCAUUUGUUUUGUGUAAAAAAACCCCAUGUAAUGUCAAAAAUUUGAUCACAAUCCAAAUUCAGAGCUGUAUCAUGCUUGAAUGUUUUGUCCAUACUUGCCCCAACUGUUCAGGGUUCGACCUCUGCGGUCGUAUAAAGCUGCGCCCUGCGGAGCACCUGGUUCUCAUUUCAG
rnacentral:lncRNA from 1 species